rnacentral:rRNA from 1 species
UACGGGGGGGGCAAGCGUUGUUCGGAAUUACUGGGCGUAAAGGGCUCGUAGGCGGCCAACUAAGUCGGACGUGAAAUCCCUCAGCUUAACUGGGGAACUGCGUCUGAUACUGGAUGGCUUGGAUUCGGGAGAGGGAUGCGGAAUUCCAGGUGUAGCGGUGAAAUGCGUAGAUAUCGGGAGGAACACCAGUGGCGAAGGCGGCUUUCUGGCCUGUUCUUGACGCUGAGGCGCGAAAGCUAGGGGAGCGAACGGG